UCUCACGGGGCUUGUCUCACUAGAGAAUAAAAGACAGGGCCUUCGCCGCUUUUUGAACCGCACGGGAAUGAAUGGGACGAAACUAACAACGAUAAAAACUUACCACGACUCCAGCAACGAAAACUCGUGCUCGUCCGUUUCGCCGUCUGUCAAAUUUCCUCGCGCGGGUUCCGAAACCAACGGCGGUGAUGCUCCGUCCCUGUGGGCCCCGCCCUCUCCCAGCCCCCGACCCCUCGUGAAGCGCCAACGUCGGCGCACGCGCUUGAUCCUCGGCGGCCCCCCGUUCACGUACCCCUCACGUGGUCCCCGCCUUCGUUCGCCGGCGCCUUUCGCCGCCUCUUUACUUGCCCCACCUGCCGCCGUCAAACCCUAACGCUAUCGACGUCGACUACAUAAUAGUCCAGCGCGCGCGAGAGAGAAGGGAAUCGGGGUUUGGGAUCGGGAAGAUGGAAGGGAGGGAAGCGGCGCCGACGAGGCCACCGAACCUGGCGGUGCUAUACCGGGAGGACUGCUGGAGCGAGGGGGAGACGUCGGCGCUGGUGGACGUCUGGGGCGACCGCUACAUCGAACUCAACCGCGGGAACCUCCGGCAGAAGCACUGGCAGGAGGUCGCCGACGCCGUCAACUCCCGCCGCGGCGCCGGACGCCGCCCGCCCCGCACCGACAUCCAGUGCAAAAACCGCUUCGACACCCUCAAGAAGAAGCACAAGGUCGAGAAGGCCCGGAUCGCCGCCCGCGCCGAGAGUCAGUGGCCCUUCUUCUCCCGCCUCGACGCCCUCGUGGGAUCCUCCCCGGCCCCGGCCCCGGCCGCUCCGAAGAAGCCCUCCGCCUCGCUGUCUCUCGCCCUGCCGCUCCCUUUCCACCGCAAGGGCUCAUCCUUGUCCGCCGCCACCGCCGUGGGCCCGGCGGAGCCGAGGAAGAAGCAGUCUACCGCCGCCGCCACGUCGUUCCCGGUGGAUAGCCCGUUCUUCAGGCGUGCGGCCGCGGCGAAGGACAACGAGGAGGGGUCGGGAUCGCUGUCGAGAUCGUCGUCGAGAUCAGAAACGGGGUGGAAGAGGGGGAGAGAAGGGGAGGGCAACGGGAUCCGGGAACUGGCUAGGGCGAUCGUGAGGUUUGCGGAAAUCUAUGAGAGGGUGGAGGAAGCAAAGCAGAGACAGAUGAUGGAGCUGGAGGAGCAGCGGAUGGAGUUUGUUAAGGCGCUGGAGUUACAGAAGAUGGAGAUCAUAGUGGAUUCGCAAGUGCAGCUUGCAAAGAUCAAGCGUUCCAGGCAAUCACAUACUGUCACUAGGAAAUAUUGACAGAGCCCAAAACCUGCUAUUCUAUGGGAGGAAUGAGAAAGAUAGCUAUCUAUAAUUAGAUCAAGGGAGAGAAUUUAUGGUGGUGGUGACCAUACUUUGUGAAUGCUUUGGUUGAGAAGCUUCGCUUCAAAGUUCUCAUAGCCUCUAUCGAUAUGAUGGACACCCACAACUUCUGUGACUCCUCUCGCGGCCAUUCCAGCUAGAACCAGGGCAGCUCCACCCCUCAAAUCAGCUGCUUCAACUUUUGAACCAGAAAGAGCAACACUGGAAGGGAAGAGGCGAACCGUAAGCAACAUAUGUUCCAGGUGCAUUCUCAGCAUAAGUUUAUGAACAUGGACAUUAAAAUGCUGGAAUCAAACAUACUUCCUUUGUGUUGUUCUCCCUUUAACAAAGGCUGACCUCCCAUGAACUUCUAUUCUGGCACCCAGCUUUUGCAACUCCUUCACUGCAAAAUGAGAACCAAAGAAAAGGAAAGCCAAAUUUGUAGGUAACAACAAGCCAUUUUAACUGCAUUAUAGAGUUUUUUUUCUUCGAUAUGAAGUUGUUAAAACAGAGAAAAUAAAUCAAAUUUGGAAUUCAAGAACAAACCAAUUGGAUUGACAAGAGAAGAAAUCCAAGUGGUAAGAUGAGAACGGAGACGCUCAAGAUACACCAUGCGCUACAUGAAAGGUGUGUGAAUUUAAUGCUGGUAAAACGAAGAGAACAAUGCAAGAAUAAGCAUACCGUGGUGCAUUCGGUUCUCAAAAACAGAUUCUUCGACGAUGCUUGGUCCACCACAAGUCGUCAACAAGGCCAUGAACUGAGGUUGAAGAUCCGUAGGAAAGCCUGGAUAAGGCAAUGUCUUGAGAUACAACCCUCGAAGAUCACCACCGGCGGUUGCCGUCGCAGCUGAAACCUGCAAGUAGUUAUGCCUCAAAACAUCAGGCAUAAGCAUGGAGAGAGACGAGCAGCAGCAGACCCAGAUUUCCCCAACCUCAAGAAUGCCAUCUCCCUUCUGCGAAAUCCUACAGCCAACCGCAGAGAGCUUGUCGAUGAUGCUGGUUAGAUGACAAGGGAUGACAGGGGACAACGAAACACAAGAUCGGGUAAUUGCUGCUGCAACCAUGAAAGUGCCGGUUUCUAUUCUGUCCGGUAUCACGGUGAACUGAGCUCCAUGCAACGACCUUCUACCGUCGAUGACAAGCGUGCGAGUGCCAACCCCUUUGAUCUGCGCCCCGCAGGCGACGAGGAACCGAGCGAGGUCUGCCACUUCGGGUUCCUGGAGAAGGAACGAGUAGUAGCCUAUUUUAGUCGGGAGAUACAACGAAAACUUGAUGUGUUUGAGAGUUGGAACCUGAGCUACGUUGGUGAGCACGGACACUCCCUCUGCCAUUGAAGCCGCCAUCAUGAGGGUUUCACUUGCGCCAACACUCGGGUAAUCGAGAUGGAACCGUCCUCCGGUGAGUCCUCUGCCAUUUGCUGCCUUCACAUGCACUUUCCCAUGCCUGUUCAAGUGCAAAAACGCAUGUCAGAUGCUUAAUGGCUUAGAAAUGGUUUGGGAUUU